CAAUGAUUAAGAGUAUGUUACAAGUUAAUUCGAUACAUCAUUAAUAAAUCUGUCACUCUCGAUACAUUAGUAUAAUGAGAUUAAGAUGUAUUUCAAUGAUUAUUAAUGAGAUAAAAUUUGUGAUAGAAAAGGGAUAGUGAAUUCUAAAUUCUAAUUCGGCAAAGUUUCAAGUGAAACAUACUCUUAAGUGGAUAAUAGUAAUUUUCAUUGUUUGGAGUAUGU
rnacentral:lncRNA from 1 species